GCCAACAUGGCAUAGUGGUUUGAGUACUGGACUAUGGCUCUGGAGACCAGGGUUUAAUUCCCUGCUUGACC
rnacentral:tRNA from 1 species